GCUGGGGAUAUAGUUCAGUUGUUGGAUUCUUGCCUUGCAUGUACAAGGCCCUGGGUUCAAUCCCCAGCACAGCA
rnacentral:tRNA from 1 species